GAGGGGGAGAGGUUCCCGUCGCUACUUCUCUUUCCCCUCCCCAGAUCCACUCCCUCUCCCAUCCAUGGAGAAGGAGGGGCUCGUGGCUUCCAUGGAAGCCCACCCUGAGUGGAGUACGGGCGCGGUGGCGUCGAGCGGGAGGUCAGCCUCGGAGCCACCUCUCCUCCAGGACGACGAGGCGAGAUCUCGACAAACAAGUUAGGCUUGAUAGAAUACAGAUGCCAUCGAUUGAGGGGUUAGAAAUACGGCCCUUCAUGUGAGCAAGAAAAUUAAGGAAAUUUGGACAGGGGAAUGGACACCAUCCGCGAGGAGGUGCGCUGCCCCAACCUCCGCAAGUGUUGGCUGAUGGCUAGCCUGGCACAACCCCUGCCACCAUCAUGAUCCUUGGUGGCACCUUCAUAUAUGGAUGCAUGUAAGUUGCUUCUGCUAAAUCAUGAGGAUGUGUUUCCCAUGUAAGUUAUACCUUUCGCUUGAUGCUGUAAACCUGGAAGAAAUUAAUCGUAGACGGUGAGUGAUCAGGUCUCGAUUAUGGCUUAUAUUUUUUUCUUAAGUUUCUUAAUUUACCUGGAUAAUAUUAUGUUGUUUUAAAUCAUAGUAUAGAAGCAUCUACUUGUAGUUCUAGCUAGUGCUGCACUUACUUCCUAUUUUUUCUGUGUUUCUGUUUCUAUGGGCAGUGUUACUUUUCUUUUUCAUAAUGCUUUCCUCGUGUCGCGUCAUGUAUGCUCAGUUUGAAUUUACCCAUAUAGAUAACAACCACGUGUGUGGAAAUGAGAAAGGAAAGAGUGUACAUGAGUUUUAUAAAAAUCUCAUUUACCAUUGUAUUCAUCCAUAUCUUAGAAAUAAAAAUAAAUGAUGAAAUCCUAUUAACUUGAAGAAAGAUUAAAUCUAUUCAUGGUCUGACUACAUGACACUUCUGUUUUAUUCUAGCGGCCUUCUCUACUGGAUUAGAUCCGUUCCUGGGAAGCAAUGUGAGCAAGGCGCCGCAUCACCUCCAGAAAAGUUUGAUAAUAGUGGAGGAGAUUUGUCCUGGAGAACUGAAUUCCUCGCAUACUAAUAUAGCUCAAUGGUGAUGAUCCAUUUUAUGUGCUCUUUCUUCUUUCACCAAGGUGACAAUUUUUGCGCUUCUCAUUUCCAUGUGAAGAAACACAACGAUCGAGGUUCAGAGCGGUUCUUGCAUAGCAGAGUUUGUGGUUCAGCACAUUGCCAAAAACUAUUUUAUGGAAUAUGUACUGUUCACAAACUAGACUUUCGGACAAGCAGAUCAUAAAGUUGCAGGAAACACCAGAUGAGAUACCAGAAGAUAAUUAGGUCAAUUGGAGAUGUAUAUGAGUAUAUCUGAAGAGGCCAUUCCAUAGCAAGUUUCGGCUUCCAGAAAUUUUCCGGCGACCACUACUUAGUUCCGAGCCAGGAAUUACUGUACACCAAAUAUAGUUACCUGAUAUGUUCACCUUUUUUUGCAUCUGAUGGACUCUGGGAAUAUCGGCAUUAAGAAGUAUUCAUGGCCCUAAGCCCCUAACGAUGGCCUUGAACCCUUUGUCCAAGCUCCGUCCGGGUAACAUCCGUUGGGACAUGUAUGUAUACAUGUCACGCCCAUGUCACGAAAGUGGUGUAACUGAUGAUGGAAAGAUCAAGAACACCGCAUGUGGUUCUCCUUGAUGCCAGGCUAACCAGAUAUACGAGAAAUUUUGGGGAAGUUGGCCGUGAUUCAGGAGGGAAAGUCUAUGAGAUUUGAAUCUUCAUAUGUCUUUAGACCAGUGAAAGGUCACUCAAUAAUCAAAUUUGUGAAGUACACUCUCUGUUAUCAUUAGGUGAGAACGCUUCAUCCAUAUUGCUGGUGCGGCAUAGUGCCACCCUUACUUG